CAGCACCUCAAGUGGUCAGGAUGAUUAUUGGGCCUAAAGCAUCCGUAGCCUGCUUUGUUAGUUUUCGGUUAAAUCCAUACGCUCAACGUAUGGGCUGCCGGGAAUACUGCAAAGCUAGGGAGUGGGAGAGGUAGACGGUACUCGGUAGGAAGGGGUAAAAUCCUUUGAUCUAUUGAUGACCACCUGUGGCGAAGGCGGUCUACCAGAACACGUCCGACGGUGAGGGAUGAAAGCUGGGGGAGCAAACCGGAUUAGAUACACGAGUAGUCC
rnacentral:rRNA from 1 species